rnacentral:guide_RNA from 1 species
AGAGAUCAUGGCAGGUAAUAGAUAGCAGUGAU